rnacentral:rRNA from 1 species
GACGAACGCUGGCGGCGUGCUUAACACAUGCAAGUCGAACGAUGUGGGAACGGGUGAGUAAUACGUGGGUACCCCCCCUCCUUUUUGGGAUAAGCCUUGGAAACGGGGUCUAAACCGAAUAGAUGGGCUCGCGACCUAUCAGCUUGUUGGUGGGGUGAUGGACUACCAAGGCGGUGACGGGUAGCCGGCCUGGGAGGGUGACCGGCCACAUUGGGACUGAGAUACGGCCCAGACUCCUACGGGAGGCAGCAGUGGGGAAUCUUCCGCAAUGGACGAAAGUCUGACGAAGCAACGCCGCGUGAGUGAUGACGGCCUUCGGGUUGUAAAGCUCUGUUAAUCGGGACGCGGUACCGGAAUAGAAAGCCACGGCUAACUACGUGCCAGCAGCCGCGGUAAUAC